AGAGGUCUUCCAUGGUGCAUUC
rnacentral:miRNA from 1 species